CCUACGGGGCGCUGCAGUGGGGAAUAUUGGACAAUGGGCGAAAGCCUGAUCCAGCCAUGCCGCGUGUGUGAAGAAGGCCUUCGGGUUGUAAAGCACUUUCAGUGGGGAAGAAAGCCUUGGGGCUAAUACCCUCGAGGAAGGACAUCACCCACAGAAGAAGCACCGGCUAACUCCGUGCCAGCAGCCGCGGUAAUACGGAGGGUGCGAGCGUUAAUCGGAAUUACUGGGCGUAAAGCGCGCGUAGGCGGUCUGAUAAGCCGGUUGUGAAAGCCCCGGGCUCAACCUGGGAACGGCAUCCGGAACUGUCAGGCUAGAGUGCAGGAGAGGAAGGUAGAAUUCCCGGUGUAGCGGUGAAAUGCGUAGAGAUCGGGAGGAAUACCAGUGGCGAAGGCGGCCUUCUGGACUGACACUGACGCUGAGGUACGAAAGCGUGGGUAGCAAACAGGAUUAGAUACCCUUGUAGUC
rnacentral:rRNA from 1 species